AGGGUGCUGCUGGUGUACAAGGUGGCGAAGGGGUGCCUGGAAAACCUGGACCUUGGGGAAGCAAAGGGCCCCCAGGACCACAGGGUGCACAGGGGCUCACAGGAAGCCUAGGCUCACAAGGUGCUGAUGGAUUAUCGGGAACAGCAGGAGCAAAAGGAGAUAAGGGUUUUCCUGGCUCACUUGGUGAUGCUGGUCCUCUCGGACAAGUUGGACCACAGGGUCUUCUUGGCCAAAGAGGAGCCGAGGGCCCUCCUGGACAAAAA